UUGCUUUUUUAUGGAUGUUCAGAGGACCAUAUUUGUCUACAUCUCUACCUAUCAGAAGAAUGAUGUAUUUCUAGUUUUACUAUAAUCUGAAAAAUAUCUGAAAAAUCAUAAGCUAAGGAAUAAUAGACAUAUGUUAACAUAGUGAAACACAACAAACUGUGUGUCUAGCAAUAAAAGAUGUCUGGGGAAAAGAAGAAAGGAAAUUUUCCACUUCUUCUUUCUUCCACAUUUCACUUAACAUGUAUUACCUGUGUCAGCAUAAAGAAGAGAAUUUAAAACACGGAGGAACUACCUUCCCCCAAAUGUGUAAGCGUAUAUAAACAUGGAAAGAUCUUCAAAUAUAUGGGUGAGUAAAUGCAAUCUCAGAUAGUACAUUCUAGUAUAUCUAUGAUGAGGGAAACAGUCAAAGGGAUUAGACUCAAAUGUAAGAAGUAAACAAUUCAGUGGUUGAAGUAAUGAUGGGCGUGUAUUUUCUUCUUUAGAUUUUAUGUAUCCUUAGAUUUUUUGGAAACAUGUAAUGGAGCUGAGAGGGAGCAAUCCGUUUUGUUACAGAUAUUUAAAUAGACACCACAUUCACUCCAUUGUCUUUACCUGGAGGUGGAUCUGAGAAGGCUGGUUAUCUGGUUGCUUGGGGUUUUCUUGCAAUUCUGAUAUUUAGACUAUUGUCCAGAUGGUGGUUCAAGCAGAAGGUUGAUAUCAGAGAUGCACAUGACCUGAAGGAUCUGCAUGUGAUGCCAGUUGAGCCCCAGAAAGGCAGUGCGACCUCAGAAUUGCUGAGCAGAAAAAAGACUGCUGGAGAAGUAGCUGGAGUGAGAAUCAAGACAACCAGAUCACAGGACUGGACCUUCCAUAAUCCACGUGAUACUGGGGAGGGGGCGGAGCCUUCUCUGAGAAGCUUGGAAGUGAGCUGUGCCUGGCCAGUCUUGGGGGAGGGGCUGCAUUUCACGAGGCUGCAGCUGACAAGAAGCUUCAAGCCUAGGUUAAUAUUGAAGAUACACAUGACCUGGGCAAUCUGCAUGUGA
rnacentral:lncRNA from 12 species